rnacentral:rRNA from 1 species
UUUUAUUUGAGAGUUUGAUCCUGGCUCAGGAUGAACGCUGGCGGCGUGCCUAACACAUGCAAGUUGAGCGAUUUACUUCGGUAAAGAGCGGCGGACGGGUGAGUAACGCGUGGGUAACCUACCCUGUACACACGGAUAACAUACCGAAAGGUAUGCUAAUACGGGAUAAUAUAUUUGAGAGGCAUCUCUUGAAUAUCAAAGGUGAGCCAGUACAGGAUGGACCCGCGUCUGAUUAGCUAGUUGGUAAGGUAACGGCUUACCAAGGCGACGAUCAGUAGCCGACCUGAGAGGGUGAUCGGCCACAUUGGAACUGAGACACGGUCCAAACUCCUACGGGAGGCAGCAGUGGGGAAUAUUGCACAAUGGGCGAAAGCCUGAUGCAGCAACGCCGCGUGAGUGAUGAAGGCC